rnacentral:rRNA from 1 species
CUGAUUUGCUUAAUUGCACCACAUGUGUUUUUCUUUGAAACAAACUUGCUUUGGCGGUGGGCCCAGCCUGCCGCCAGAGGUCUAAACUUACAACCAAUUUUUUAUCAACUUGUCACACCAGAUUAUUACUAAUAGUCAAAACUUUCA